GUUUUGAGUAAACAUGUGAUCUCUGUUCCCCUUUUUAAAUAAAGCAUAUUAGAUAUUCAUACAAUUGAGAGGCGAUAUCAUCCAACAACACACCCACACACACACUUAUAUAAAAACUUGCAGUCGGCAAAUGAGUUUCACACACUGCAAUCGAUCAACUCUACAGGUGUAACACCAGGCCGUUACCGCCGCCGCCGCUGUCACCCUGGAUGCUUGGAUGCAUGACAUCACCAAAUGACACAUAUCACUCUCCGCUGCUGCCUCUCUGCUUUCAUUUCUCCUUCUCGCGCUCCAGUCAUCUGCGCACUCAUCCACUUUCCUGCAUUGUAGGCUUCCCGAGGAGGAGAUGAGCUCGAUAAAAGGAGGGACGAUCUGAGAACAGUGAUUGUUGGCUCACAUGAUGUGCUCUAGGGGGACGGGGGGGAUUUCCUUUAGUAGAGUUAAAAGGUUUUCUAAGUUAGUUAAUGCUGUUGACUUUAUGCAUCCAAAAAACACAAUUAAUUGUUUCCGUAAGAAGAACAGCAAGAAUUGAAAAUUGAAGAAUUGUGUGCUUUGUUAUUGGUUGAGGCCUUUUUUUUUAAUGUAACCACACUGUAAUAUCUGAACUGGGAAUAUUCACAGAUCUAAAAAACAGAGCAACUUUCCUUCGCCCACGUUUUGGAGAUGCGCGUUUUGUCAUGGGACACGUGUUUCACAAUUCAUAACGUUUAACGUGGCACCUUCUUAAUCAUAAUCUGUCAGAGACUUUCCAUUGUUUCCAUUCACGCAAAUAGGACUGAUUGUAAAAGUUAAUUAUUGAUGGUGGCAAAUCCCAACUUGAGCUCUUAACAGAGCUCUCACCGCUUUUCACCAGCAGAUAUUGAUGGAAGAAGUGCUUCCUUCCUUUACUUAAGUAAGAUUAGAAAUACUAUGGUCCAUAACACUCCAUGUUGGAUGUUUGUCAAUAAGGAGCCAAUUUUAGAGACUCUGUAUUCUACUGAUUAGAUUAUUACUGCAUCGUGUUAGGACAUUCUAUGUUAUUUAUGUCAAAAGCAAGUGGUAAAGGUAAAAGUAAAAGUCGUCGAGUAGAAAGUAGGAUGUUCCUCUGAAUGGUGUAAUGUGGCAAUUAAAUGAAUACAUGUACUUUAGUAUACAUUAAUUGAGUUAUUGUACUUAUAUUAAUCCCAGCAACCCAAGCAGCUGCAAACUGAGUAUGAAUCUAAAAAAAAUCGACAUUCGUGUGAUUUGGGAUUGGAUCCAGUCUCGGCUCUAAUAUGGUCUUUAAAGGGGAAAGUCUUCUAUUUGGG
ensembl:lncRNA